UACAGAGGUCUCAAGCGUUGUUCGGAUUCAUUGGGCGUAAAGGGUGCGUAGGCGGCGCGGUAAGUCGGGUGUGAAAUCUUGGAGCUUAACUCCGAAACUGCAUUCGAUACUGCCGUGCUUGAGGACUGGAGAGGAGACUGGAAUUUACGGUGUAGCGGUGAAAUGCGUAGAUAUCGUAAGGAAGACCAGGUGGCGAAGGCGGGUCUCUGGACAGUUCCUGACGCUGAGGCACGAAGGCCCAGGGGGAGCAAAACGGGG
rnacentral:rRNA from 1 species